UACUUACAUGGACAUAGUUUUUUUUUGUAUUUAGAGCUUAGUAAUAGUUUUUACACAGGUCAACAAAUGAAGGCAUUCAAGAGUUUAAAUUCUUACAAAUAUUUUGAGACAACGCUCCUGCUCAUCCCUCUGAAAAUAUUCUAUGAUCAAAACAUGGCAACUUUAGUUGUAUGUUUUUGCCAAAAAA
rnacentral:lncRNA from 1 species